rnacentral:rRNA from 1 species
UUCCUACGGGAGGCAGCAGUUGGGCGCAAGCCUGAUCCAGCCAUGCCGCGUGAGUGAUGAAGGCCCUAGGGUUGUAAAGCUCUUUUGUGCGGGAAGAUAAUGACGGUACCGCAAGAAUAAGCCCCGGCUAACUUCGUGCCAGCAGCCGCGGUAAUACGAAGGGGGCUAGCGUUGCUCGGAAUCACUGGGCGUAAAGGGUGCGUAGGCGGGUCUUUAAGUCAGGGGUGAAAUCCUGGAGCUCAACUCCAGAACUGCCUUUGAUACUGAGGAUCUUGAGUUCGGGAGAGGUGAGUGGAACUGCGAGUGUAGAGGUGAAAUUCGUAGAUAUUCGCAAGAACACCAGUGGCGAAGGCGGCUCACUGGCCCGAUACUGACGCU